rnacentral:rRNA from 1 species
AUCAACUUUCGAUGGUAGGAUAGAGGCCUACCAUGGUGGUAACGGGUAACGGGGUGUUAGGGCACGACACCGGAGAGGGAGCCUGAGAAACGGCUACCACAUCCAAGGAUGGCAGCAGGCGCGCAAAUUACCCAAUCCCGACACGGGGAGGUAGUGACAAUAAAUAACAAUACGGGGCUCUUUAGGGUCUCGUAAUUGGAAUGAGUACAAUUUAAAUCUCUUAACGAGGAACAAUUGGAGGGCAAGUCUGGUGCCAGCAGCCGCGGUAAUUCCAGCUCCAAUAGCGUAUAUUAAAGUUGUUGCAGUUAAAAAGCUCGUAGUUGAAUUUCGGGAUCAGCAGGUUGGUCGUGCCUCUGGUAUGUACUGGUUUCGCUGAUUCCUCCUUUCUGAAGAACUGUAAUGUCAUUAAUUUGGUGUUGCAGGGAAACAGGACUGUUACUUUGAAAAAAUUAGAGUGUUUAAAGCAAGCUAACGCUUGAAUACAUUAGCAUGGAAUAAUGAAAUAGGACGUUUGAUCCUAUUUUGUUGGUUUCUAGGAUUGACGUAAUGAUUAAUAGGGAUAGUUGGGGGCAUUAGUAUUCAAUUGUCAGAGGUGAAAUUCUUGGAUUUAUUGAAGACUAACUACUGCGAAAGCAUUUGCCAAGGAUGUUUUCAUUAAUCAAGAACGAAAGUUAGGGGAUCGAAGACGAUCAGAUACCGUCGUAGUCUUAACCAUAAACUAUGCCGACUAGGGAUCGGACGAUGUUAAUUUUUUAAUGACUCGUUCGGCGCCUUACGGGAAACCAAAGUGUUUGGGUUC